UAUCAGUAUUGUUGAAAAGACAUCCUUGCUCUUGUUUGUUUGUCCCCACACCCCUUCCUCUCUCUUUGUUAAGAGACUCUCUCCCCACCCCAACUUUCCAUCUCCAUUUUUUCUCACCCAAACAACUCCACCGUCAUGCAUCCCUCCCCCGUUCAGAUCCAAGCAUCCAACAUUGUUGAUGUACAGAUCCCGAGAUUAUGAUGGUGAGGGACAUCAACAAGUUUUUCGUUGUCCCACACCACCCUGCUUUGUCAAGAUCAAGCAGCACCACACACCCCUUGUCUGUUUAUCAAUUUUGGAUUUUGUUGAGCGAUUUAUGGGUUUGAGAGUGAGAUAUUUUGAAUUUGUGUUGUUGGAUUUGUGACUGUUAAUGGGUUUGAGAUGGUGAUCAGGGUUUUGUGGUGUCAAGGUGGUUGUUGUUCUGGUGAUCGGGGAUGUUGAACCAAUAACAAAAAUAUGAUUCUAUUAUUGUCCAGUAUAACGGAAUUAUGUUUCUAUUGUUGAGUAGAGGGCUAAAAAAAGUAAAAAUAACAAAAAUGCGAUUUUGUUGUACACUAUACAACAAAAUUGUAUUUUUGUUGUUUUAUUUUUUUUCGCCCCCAUGUGUACAACAGAAAUAUGAUUUCAUUGUAUAAGUCUACAACAAAAUCAUUUUUCUGUGGGAAGGUUAAUUUUGAAAUAACAUGAAAAUUCACCAACAUGGGUAGUUAAAAUAGCGAUUCUGGUAGUGCAAAUAGUAUCUUCCUACUAUAUGGUAAAAUUUUUAACUAUUGGCCCACUUACAUUUUUUGCGGCCAAUUUACUGUUGACCCAAAUUACAUUAUUUGUUGUUUUUUUCCUUACAAUUGCUAUUUCCACUUUUCCUUUUCUAAGGCACUCCUCAUUUAAAUUUGUUUACCCAUAAUAUACUCAUACUGAAAAAUAGACUCUAAAAUUUAUUUACACUCCCCUCUUUCUGGAAUUGUUGUUUUGGAUAAGCAAAAUCUUUAUUAAAAAAUCCAAAAAAGUACAAGAAGUGUCAAUUCAAGAAACCACGAUACAAAAAGAUUCAAGCAGCAUGAAUCGUAUAUGUUUCUCCACCUAAUACAAAAAUUCACAUCUAUCAAAAAGCUAUCCUUUUAUCUCUCUUUCAAUACUAACAAGCUUUACGCCAAUUGUGAAAUAAUGUCCUUGUCGCCAACUAAUUGCACCCAACAUUCUGACUUUCGAUACUCUAAAUAUUCUAUCCACUUUCAUCAUGGUCAAUAAAUCUUGUAAACUGCUUGGCCUUUUAAAUAUGUCUUGCUUGGGAGGCUUGAAGGGUAGACAGAUAUGUUGAGGUAGUGACAGAUGGGUGUGGAAAAGAGGUUCGUGGUCAUAUUGAGUUUUGGUAGGCAUGUUUUGUUGACCUUGUAUCAGGCAGUUCCAGGGGAUGUGUGGUGGCCUAUGGAGAUAGGCGGGAUUUGUGUGGCUUUAAUUAAAACAGAAGGAUCAGUUGGCCUGGACGUUUUAUCGAACAGUUGGAAGGCAUAAAUGCUGGUAAUGAAGAAUGAUGCUAGUGGUAUGUGAUUCUCGCUAUAUCCUGUUUACAUCAGAUCAGACAAGAAAGUUCAGAAUUGGACUUGGUCCAUGAUGUUGCGUGUUGUGUGUUUUCUCAAUAGAGAGAUCGAUAUCUUGGUGCAAUCCUGUUCGGGGUUUUUUAAUAGGCUGAGUUUGUGUGUUUCCUUGAACGCUAUUGUAGCUUUUAUCUUGGUGCAAUAUACUUGUAUCCAUACACUGCAAAUUAUUCUGCACAUCAUAAUGACUCAUUCCAUACACUAAUUGAUACUACGUUCUGAUUACUCCUCUCUUUAAUAGAGUAGUCUUCUGGAAAUUAGAUUCCGGAAAGAGGGGAGUGUAAAUAAAUUCCAGAAUCUAUUUUCCAGUUAGAGGGUGGUUUGGGUAAUCGAAUUUAAAAGGGUAGUGCAUUAGCAUAGAGGAGGAGUGGAAAUAACAAUUUUCUUCUUUUUCUGUAUAAAUCAUAGUACACCAUAGGGUUUAAUAAUUCUAAAUAAAAUUUUAGAAUUAUAAAGCUACAACAUAAAAAAUGAAAACAAUUCAUCAAAUUUAAUUAUAUCAUUUCAUAUAAAUAAUUGUAUAUGAUUCACUACUAAUUUUAAACUUAGCUUGUUCAUCGACUCCAUUAGAGUUCAUUUUAAUUACUUCAAUCAAUGAGUCAUAUUUAUGAAAUGCCUCUAAACAAUGUUUGUAUUAUACGUAUCUAAUUCAUUUGAAAUUCAGGUAGGACCCAAUGACAACUGGUUGUUUUGUGUCCUAUGUAGGAUGUUGUCGUUUGGUUCUAUUCGUUGCAUAAGAAACCUAAUGUUCAUACUAUUAACAAGUUUUAACAUAUAACUUAUAAUGUGAUCUUAUUAAACGUUGAUACAUAAAUAGUUUGUCCUUGUAUAUACGUUGAUGUUUUUUUGUAAGUAGUGCAAUGAACACAUUAAAGACUACUUUGCAUGGUCAUACUAAUCAAGCCGCACUUAAGUGGAUUGAAGUUAAGAGUCACAUUCAAACCGGAGGCUAUGAGUGUGGCUACUACGUCAUGCAUUGGAUGUGAAACAUAGUAAGCAGGGAGUUGAAGACUGAUUGGACCAUGUGGUUUGGUGAUGGCACGCCGUUAGACGAGACUAUGACAACAAUUUGCAAGAAAUGGACAACAUAUUUUUAGAAGUUAAAAACAUCCGAUGUAGAAAGUUAAACAUGACAUAGGAAGAUCGAAUGUGCUGUAUUCGAUACAAUUGUUUAAAUAUUGUAAACAAGUUUGUAGUAUUAUUGACAAUUAUGUGACAAUAAAUAUAUUAGAUUGUUGUGUGGUGCUUUC